UGAUUAUUAGAGCUUUAUCAA
rnacentral:piRNA from 1 species